CUCUGGUUUGUUGAUCUAGAUUAUGAUAAGAGCAUCAGCUAAUUAAAUCUAAAUUCUUUUUUUCAACGUCUCACGUUUAGUUUUAUUGAGUGCUGCGUUCAUUAGUCAACCUUCAAGGUGAAAGUUAUUUGUCAUAUAUCCAUUGGAACGCUCAUAUUCAAAGUUUGAUAUUAUUUCGUUUUCAAUUACUGAUCGGAAGCGGUAAUUUAGAAGAAUCGUCGAAAUGAGUAAAUGUAUGAUUUGGACAGUUCCUAGAACAAAGGGAAUAAUCUUAGCAAAGUCACUUACCCUUAACGAAGACGUGAAAUGCUUCUACGAACCAUUUGCUUUCACAUAUUUCAAACAACUUGAGUCAAAUUUCUCCGGUUUGAAAACGAUUUUGACGACAAAUUUCUUUGGGUCGAAGACAAGCUCCAUUUUGAAAGAUCACCCUGUUUACAUACCUGACAGUUCAUUUGAGCCAUGGGUAGGCGAUCAAUGUGUCAAACACGUCAUUUUGAUUCGUAACCCAAUUGAAUGUGCUUUAUCGGCGUUACCUUUGGACGGGAAAACAAUCCCUUACAUCGAGUAUUAUAGCCAUCACGAUUUCAACUUGGAACAAUAUUGGAGAGCGCUCUUGGACAUGAAGAAUUUCUAGAAUCUUCUGGAAGAACUUUCAAAGUGUUUGAUUCAACAGAUCUCAAUGCAGAAACGUCUGAGCACUUUGUGAAACGUUUAUGCGAGUUUGGCGAAUUACCUUUUGAUGCUGAAAGUUUGAAAAAUAUGCCAGCUUAUGAAGUGUUCCCAAAACACUGGUGGGUUCCCCCGGAUCUACAAAAGAAUAGGAAUUGGGUAGCUCCAAAAACCAACUUUACAAUUGACUUCUACGGCUCAGCAUUGAAAGCUACUUCGUUCAGCUCAAAGAAGUCAGUCUUCACCGAGGAAAAUUUGACCGUGCAGCAAUGUGAAAACUUGAAAAAGUUGCUGAACACAAUUGAACCUAUAUUUAAAGAGCUGAAACUAUACUGCUGUAAUUGAUUGCUCAAAGAAGUGUUUGAGUUCCUAUCAACAAACAAGACUAUUCGAUCACUGUGCUUUUUGCAGGGAAAAAGAAAUCAAUUAGAUCAAAAAUUCCAGCUCUUUACUACCAACUCUUAAGUACAUUAUAUGUGUGUUUGAGUUUCAAAAAGAGCAGUUUUUCCAACACUGAGGAAAAAAAUUAUAAUUUUAUUUUGAUAUCGAAAUCAAGAACAAAAGUGAUCUAAUAUGGUACCCACUUGAUUUUCCACGAAUCAUUUUGUCAAGUCGCCAGAACUAAAAAAAAUUCAUUUAAAUCAAAAAAAUUGUUGCUGUGAGCGAAGUAAACGAACUUAAUGCGAACAUACGACAGACAAUACGACCUCAAAUGAGAAAUUGGAGUGAAAAAUUAAUAAUAGUCUGGAGAUUCGAUUGAGAUUCAUUUUAAUAGAUACCGUGUAUUUAUCAGUUGAUCAAAGUCUAAGUAUUUAAUUCAAUUUAAUUUUACAUCAUG